GGAACAUAAGAAGUAGCAGUUGUGAAGAUAUGUAAUCGUAUCGAUGACAUUUAAAUUAAAAAAAAAAAAUUUUUUAAGUGCUUAAAACAAUCAAUAUUGUCAAUAGAAUCUGCAUGUCUACUCUAAAUUUUUUAUGUUUUACAGUUUUCCAAAUCUCGACAUUCACACGGACAUGGCGAGAUCAACUUUUGCUCCUGAUUAAGAAUAAACAAAAUAAAUGAUUUUUAUAAAUGUACCCAAAUUCUAUAAAAACUGAAAUUUAAAGUCAUUUGGAGUAAAUAAAUUUUUUAAAUUUAACCAGAACAGCUUAAUCACAACAGAUUAAUAUUGAUAGGAUUUACCUUGAUCAAGUUUUAAAUCUAAAGAAAUUAAGAAGGUUUUGAUCGUUAGAAAAAAGAUAAGGACCGACGUUUUACUUUCAAGAAAGCCAGAGUUCCCCGAAUUAUCUUCCAAAAGUAAUGAUGAAUAUAAUAAAUCAUUUUAAAUUACAAAUUAAUUAAUGUUUCAUCGGCAGAAAGAAAAAACUUUGAUUUGAAUUUGAAGUCGCAAGGCACAACAAAGAAGCGUUUCAGAACCUUUUACUUUUCAGAAGUAUACUAUGAAUACGAUCCCAUGAUUAAAAUUGAAAAAUUUUUAUAAACUGAAAAUGUGUUUACAAAUUAUUCAAAAACACAAAUCAUCGGACCAGCUUUCAAAAACUAUUUCAAAGAAUCUGGCUUAAGUUAGUGCGAACGCCAAUACUCAAAUCAGCCCGGGGCUCAUUAAAUUUUUUUUCUAUUUCGAAAGUUGCAGAUUGGCAAAAUUUAUUCCUCAUUCCACAUGCCUCUGUUCUAGUUGUGACCCAUAGCGCUGAGCUGCCGACUCAUCAAACAGUCGAAAAACUUGUACCCAAAUUGUACGUUUUCCCGCUGCAAGGCAUACUUGAAUAUUCCCUGCAAAUAGAAUAGCAACCCUUGAUAGCAAAGCGCUUUCUUUCAAGUACCCGAAAAACAAAGAAAUACAAAUUAAAAUCAGACAAAAACAAAAUAAAAUACAUAAACAACAUAUCUGACUUAUUUCCCGUAGUCACUACUAAGGCAGGCAGAGCGGUAGACGAGCAUUUUAAGCGCAAUACAAAAUUGUAGUGACCCUUGGCGCUAAACAGACGACCCACUAAAACGUCGGAAAACUUGUCCUCAAAUUCCAAAUUUUCCCGCUGUAAGGGAACUACUACAAACGCAUUACUAACCUAAAACAAACAAAUCGGCACACUUUGCAUGACUAUAAUUCUUCAUUGGAUUAUCAAAUCACACUUAGCAGCGCAUUCAUCAAAGCAAACCGAAGUCACCGAUGUACCUGAAAAACAAUCCAAAAUCAAACAAAACAAAUAAAUAUACAUAAAAUACUUAUCGCAUCCAAUUCCAUGGUCGAACUUGACGCUGCGGCCCAGAGCAACAACUCUCAGUCUUGCGGCUCCAAGAUGUCACCCCUCGGGGAUCCUCGACCGAGAUCCACUCAAAUGUCUCGUGCAGCCGCCCCUCUCCAAAUUCUUCCCACUCGAAAACCGGCGAAAAAUACCUUUAAUUUGAAAUUAAUUGUAACGACGAAUAAAUACUACUGGAGCGGUAGAAUUCACCACAAAGUAACGGCUGCGAGGGAAUUCCACUGCAAUUAUACUUACCUGCAACGCUUGCCCAAUUUGAAUCGUUGCAAAUGAAUCUCGCAACGGUUACAAAUCAGGAUCAAGAAACUCCAAACAUCCACCUGCAACGACUUCUGGGGCCUCCAACAUUCUUAUUGCUUCCGUCCUUUCGGCGGGGUUAACUAAAAGAAACUCAUGAUCAAUGUUAAAUCCAAUUAAUGGCCUCUCUUUCUCAAAUUUGUAUAAUGUUAAUUGUAUAAUGUACAAUGUUAAUGUUAAUAAUAAAACUAAUAAAACAAAUCAGAGCAAUGUAAAAUAAUGUUUUAAAGUAAACAAACUAUGUCAAACCCCUAAACUCACCCCAACCAUGUAAAAUCUCAAAAUUUAACUAAUUGUACCUAUAUAUUGUACUCGUUGAAAUCAGAGGCAAAAUAAAUUGUGGAGGCUUGUGGCAGAUUUCAUUCUGCUCCCGCUUGUCUAAUUUAUUUAAAAAUGGGACUGGCGACUAGAGCCUAGCUGGGAAGUUCCACUGAGAAUGGCGAAGAAGAAGACGAGGUUUGUUUCCAAGUGUUUAUUGCGCGGGCGCAGCCAGCAGCUCCGACAUCAGUUUUACGACUCUUUUUAGCGAGCAGCAUGCAAACAUUCUAAUGCGACGAAGGGCGAACGCUUAUCAGGUUGAUUUAAACUACUCGACUAAGCGCUAGCUUGAGCGCACUGAUAAGCUUUUUACAUUUCAUUUGUUUACAUUUCAUAUUACAUUCAUAUUUAACAAUAAGUAAGCUUAUAUAUAAUUUAUAUUUAACAAUGAAAACUUAAACUACUGCUCCAACACCUUUUGUUUAAAUUAUAAUAUUUUAACAUGAUAUUAAAGGCCUCGUUUCUUAGAAUCGGAAGCCUAUGACACUGGCACGUAUCUGGUCCUUCCGAAGCGUCAUCAUCACUUCAGGAACAAAACUUGUAGUGGAAUCCAUACUUCGAGUGGAUCAGUUCUUUAUCCUUCAAAUCCUCCAGAGUGCUCUUCAAAUAUAUAAGCUGCGUUACCUGUUCCUCAAAUAUCUUGUCUUCGAACUGCAUCAAGAAGAGCUCAAUUUGUUUCGAGUCCAUUUUCGUUAAGGUUCUUU